CUACGGGUCGCUGCAGUGGGGAAUUUUGCGCAAUGGGGGAAACCCUGACGCAGCAAUACCGCGUGAGUGAAGAAGGCCUUUGGGUCGUAAAGCUCUUUUCUUGGGGAAGAUAGUGACGGUACCCAAGGAAUAAGCACCGGCUAACUCCGUGCCAGCAGCCGCGGUAAUACGGAGGGUGCAAGCGUUGUUCGGAUUUACUGGGCGUAAAGGGCACGUAGGCGGCACAGCAAGUUAAGGGUGAAAUCCCGGGGCUCAACUCCGGAACUGCUCUUAAAGCUGCUGAGCUAGAGAUAGUCAGAGGCGGGUGGAAUUCCAGGUGUAGAGGUGAAAUUCGUAGAUAUCUGGAGGAACACCGGUGGCGAAGGCGGCCCGCUGGGGCUAUUCUGACGCUAAGGUGCGAAAGCGUGGGGAGCAAACGGGAUUAGAUACCCCCGUAGUC
rnacentral:rRNA from 1 species